GGGCUCUUGGCACAGGGGUAGCGCGCACGCUUCGCAUCCUCAUCUGGGCCAGCCCGGUUCAUUGCAUGCGUGAGGUCGUGGGUUCAAUUCCCACAGUGUCCA